rnacentral:rRNA from 1 species
UACGUAGGGGGCAAGCGUUGUCCGGAAUCAUUGGGCGUAACGAGCGUGUAGGCGGCCCGAUAAGUCCGCUGUGAAAGUCCAGGGCUCAACCUCGAGACGCCGGUGGAAACCAUCAGACUAGAGUCCGGAAGAGGAGAGUGGAAUUCCUGGUGUAGCGGUGAAAUGCGCAGAUAUCAGGAAGAACACCCGUGGCUAAGGCGGCUCUCUAGUACGGUACUGACGCUGAGACGCGAAAGCGUGGGGAGCGAACAGG